rnacentral:lncRNA from 1 species
GUGAGGCAGCUGUACUGGAAGCUGAGGUCCAGGUGGAGGAGGAGCUCGGCGCCGUCGCGGCCGAACAAGGGCGGCGCGGCGGCGACGGCGAGGUUCGCGUACGACCUGGAGAGCUACUCCCGCAACUUCGACGAUGGCCUCGUCUCUGGCCUAUAUAGCUAGCUACAGAAACUUCUCCUGCUUAAUUGCCAUUGUUAGGAGCAUUGAGACAGGAGAAUCCAAUACUCGAUCGAUCUGCUAGUAUGUUUGUACAUUGUACGUAGUACUGUUGUUUAUAAAUGGGACAGUGCAAUUUCUGAGUACUAAUAAUCUAGCUGGUGACAAAACUAAUGUGGAAUAUUAACAAACAAGUUCUGCAAGC